GAUGUCGGCACCGCUGCUACGCGUUCCGUGCGCGGUAGCCGCGAUACGCUGCGCCAGAUCCAGCUAGGGCCAAAGCCAAGCAGACACGGCCGGACUGGCCAGAGGCAGGCGGCACGUAGCCAGGCAUCACGGCGCGCUCGUCCGGUUCGCACGAUACUGGCGCACACACCGACGAAACCAUAUCCUAGGUAGUCGAGUCGAUGCCACGCGCCUUAAGCAUCGCCGCAGGGUAGAUUGGAGCCACUCGCGGUAUUGCACACCGCGGAAUGCGAUAGCCGUGAUAGCGGAUCGACGGUGGCUGCGGUGUGGGUGGUACGGUAGUGUUGUAAAGUCGCGACACGUCCCUCGUCGCCACGCACAAAAUCGAGCUAGUCGAGGUUAGGUGUUAGGAUUUUCGCGCAGCGCAGUGGAGCGGAGCUCGGAAUCGCGAAACGCGGAAUCGGUUUGCGCGGGGAUUAACGGAGACACGGCGACGAACACCCGGACGGGCGGGAUGGAUGGCAAGGUCGACGACGAGAAUCAGCGCGGCGUCAACGACGGCGACUGGGUCUGUCCUGACUCGCAAUGUGCCAAUAUAAACUUUGCCAGACGUAAUUCCUGCAAUCGCUGUGGAAAAGAUAGAGGUGAAUGCCCAAAGAAGAAAAAGUUGGGUCAGGAAAUUGGAAAAGCAGCUGCAGAGAAAAGUAGAGGCCUUUUUAGCGCGGACGAUUGGCAAUGUAGUAAGUGCGGUAACGUAAACUGGGCACGACGGCAACAAUGUAAUAUGUGCAACGCCCCAAAAUUUGGUGAGAUAGAGGAACGUACGGGAUAUGGAGGUGGAUAUAAUGAUCGAGGUGUAGUCGAAUACAAGGAGAGGCGAGAUGAGGACGAUGAAUAUGACGAGUUUGGGCGACGCAAAAAAAAGCGAAAACUAGAAAAGAAUUCCGACGAUGAUUCAAAGGAUUCCAAGUACAGCAGCCCAUCGCGUAGUAAAUCUAGAGACAAGGAAGAGAGGGAUGAGGUAGACGAGGAGGAGCAGGAAGAAAAUCGUCGAUUAAAAUCAGCUUCGCGGAUACUUAAUUGGUAUCAUGAACCACAGGAGGAGGAAGAGGAAGAUGACGAGGAAGAAGAGGAAGAGGAGGAUGAGGAGGAAGAGGAUGGUGAUUUAUCUAAAUACGAUCUUAGCGAAUGGGAUGAUUUUGCACCAGCGAAAAAAAGUACGAACGGAAGUAAUAUAUCCUCGGAAGCGCAACGGUCAAGAAAUGGAGAUGAUCGGCGCGAUUCAGGCACAUCCAAUCAAUGAAAGGCUGUACAGAAGGACAGGUUUGACAUGGGUUUCGGGUAUAAAAUUGAUUAUGAUGAUCAGUUGCAGACAGCAUACAGUGUGAUGAAUUUUGCUAAAUAAUGUGAACCAGGAGACUCAAAAGGAAACACAACCAGUGCUCGCGGCAACUAAGAAAUACACAACGCAACAGGUUUUAGUAAUUUAGUAUGUACCUUUGAAUAUAAAGUGGCCGAUAAUGCGUGACUUAUUACAAAGAGAAAUCGACUAACAAUAAAGGUGCAAUUUCAUGCAGCGAAGCAAAGCUAGCUUUUAUCUCCACUUCACCUCAAUGCAAAACAGCGUAAAGACUUUAAAACAUUUGUAGUGUCAAAUGUGCCGUAGCUAAAAAAUUAUUUAAAAAAUUAAAAAGCAAUUUAAAAAAAAAUUAUGGCCAGUAUUCAUAGUCCAUUCUUAUAUUUAAGAUCGUCUUAAGUAAGCUUAGACGGUUAUAUUAUUGGUUGAAAUAUAAUCUUAAGACGACCUUAAAUAUAAGAACUGACUAUGAAUAUCGCCCUAAAUGUCUUAUUUUGUAUUUUAAAAAUAAAUUAUAAUAGCACAUCGAAUACAUGGAGCAAUAUAGAUGUAUAGUGGCAACCACAGUUGUAGUAGAGAUUAGGAGACGACACAUAAUCGCUGUACUUGCUACGAUACAUUUAUUGAGAAA
rnacentral:misc_RNA from 1 species